CCGACCUUAGCUUAGCUGGAAGAGCAUAAGACUGUAAUAGGUUGCAUUCAUCUUGGGGUCGCCUGUUCGAGUCAGGCAGGUCGGA
rnacentral:tRNA from 2 species